UCCAUACCUAUACCUCUAAUGAAGUAGAAAGGCUGUUUCUGAUAGACCCCUGGCUCAAGGCACGAGAUACCACACAAACACAUAGUAAAGCACAGAAGCAGAUUACAUAACAUAAAUACGGCACCCAUAAGUAAUAUAAAACAGAGGAAAGCAGAGGAAAGCACACAGAUUCGUAAUAAAACAUGGAACACGGAACACGGAAUCAUAACAGGAAUAAAACCCCCACCAAGUAAUCCCUACACUAGCGACCCAAACUGGCCCUAAUCCUCUGCCGAAAUUCGCGCCCUCCAGACCUUCUUAUCUAGGGUCAUGUCCUCGGUGAGCUGUAACUGUUCCAUGUCCCGCCUAAUCACCUCACCCCAGUACUUCUUCGGCCUACCCCUACCCCGCCUAAAACCAUCCAACGCUAGCCUCUCACACCUACGGACCGGGGCAUCCAUGCCCCUCCUCUUCACGUGUCCGAACCAUCUCAAUCGUGCUUCCCGCAUUUUGCACUCCACUGAAGUCACACCAACCUUCUCCCGGAUAGUCUCAUUCCGAACUUAUCCCCUCUAGUCAGUCCACACAUCCAGCGCAACAUCUGCAUUUCUGCCACCUUC
rnacentral:lncRNA from 1 species